GUCAUUCUCCUGGUCCUGCUGUGGAGAAAUCAAAACAACAAAGGUUCCUGUUUCAUCAGAAUAUUCUGGCCCCCUCAGCCCCAGAGCACCAACCAGGACCCCCAACAGGACCAAGGAUCUACCCAGGGCCAGGC